AAGUAAAAAAAAUUCAAAAAUAUAAAAAAAUUCAGAAAAAAAAGUGAAGUGUCGAAAGUUUGGUAAGUUCUUGAUUAAUUUGCAUUUCUCUUCUACUAAUCCCGAUCAUCGAGAUCAUUCUACCAUUUUGUCUACCCCAAAAUGCCACACUUAAACCAGUUUAAUUCUUUAUUUCAGCCUACCUUAUACACCUAACGAUCUCCUUUGCACCCUU
rnacentral:lncRNA from 1 species